UAAUGCUAAUACGUUUUGGGUAGUUUUGGCCUGAUUUGGGAUGAUUGGGGUAAUUCUAUGGACCCGCAGGGAUUCCUCCUACGUUGCAAGUUCAGCGUUCGUCCGCCUGCCCAUCCGCCUUGUGUCGUCUGUCGUUCUUCAACAUCGGAGGGAGACGCUGGCGUUGGAGCACGGACCCGAGAUCAGCACGACGACGUCUGCAGGUUUUACGUCUAAUGGUAUGUUUACGCGAGGACAGCAACGUAGUGGAGCACGGACACCGCCGGCCAGGGCGCGGACCAAGCCUGCAUGCUUUGCCUCCCCCUCUACAGAGCCCUCCUCGGCUGGCUCGGACACGGACAGCGGGCGCACACCUCAGCUGGGCAAUUCAGACAAAGCAACGGGUGGCACAGUGACACAACUCCCACCCCUUUCAGCAGACGAUUGGUCGACGCUGCAGGCCCUCAUUGCGCAGGCACGUGGGCCCUCCUCGGGCUCAGGACACUGCGACGGAGGUGGUGCCGUGGCCGCCCCUGCCGCGGCCGCCCCAGCCCCCUCGCCCUUCCCCUCCGAGCGUCGCCCUCGAUACAGGGCCAGGGGGCAUACGUCGAGGCGCCGUGCCAGCUCCUCCAGCCCGUCCUCUUAUGGUGAGUGCUUCUUCCCCACCUUCUAGCCCUUGGCUGGGACACCUUCGGGCACCUCAGGCUUCCACCAUCCCACUCCUGGGCGUACAUGCAUCUUCAUGCUCCACUCUAUAGCACAGAUAAUCCAGAUGCUGCCAGAAUGAAUGCCAUGUUGAGCCAUCAAGACUGCAAUCCUCAAAGAAUCAUCAAAGAUGGUUGAGUUUACAACAUGUGAAUUACAUACAUCAAGAAGUCCCUGACCUUUGUGAAUCUCCAAUUACAACUAAUAAUAACUUAAGUUCCCAAACCAA